GUGAGGAAGGGCAGACCGGAAAAGCAAGGGAGGUUGAGGCCGAAGAGGCGCCAUGUUGGUUAAGGGCACGGCCGUGGCCUUUCAGGACUUUUUCAGAAGAAAGCUAGCAAACCUCGAGCGUUUUCACAUAUUCCAGAAGCCUCUCUUGGCGUAGCACUGAAGGGUUUUUCCAUGACGCUUCCCGGAGAGGCCGGGCGUGAGAAAGCAGCCCUGGGGUCGUGAACUUCGCGGACGUGGCCGUGUACUUCUUCUGGGGGGCUGGGGGUGUUGGCGGUCAGCGCAGAGCGCCCUGUACCGGGACGUGAUGUGGGAGACGUACGGCCGCCUGGGCGCGCUCGGAUUUUUAGGCCCCAAAUCCGCUUUUAUUUCUUGGGUGGAAGGAGAGGUGGAGGCCUAGGAUCCAGAGGGUGAGACCCCAGCAGCUGUCAUCAGAGACGGGGGGAAAGGAUCCGGGGAUGACAGUGAGGAAAAAGAACUGAACAAGAGUCCAAAACAGAGAGACGGCGCAUGAGGAAAUGUCUCUCAAGGAGUGGUUACCAUCCAGCAGGCCACCUGGCCCCAGUCACAAAGCCACCUGCCCAGAGCUCUACUGGACUCUGGGCAGAGCCCAAUCUAGCCUUGGUUCAAGGACAGUACAACCCACAAAUCAGCCUACGCUUGCCCAAACUGUGGCCACAACUUCAGCUACCCCUCCCUCCUGGCCAACCUGGGGAGCGGCCCUUCCGGUGUGACCAAUGCCAGGCUCGUCUCUCCCAGUGCAAGCAUCUGCUCCAGCAUCAACUCUUCCACACAGGUGAAAAGCCCCACUCUUGCCCUGACUGUGGGCAACGUUUCCACCAGAGGGGUUCCCUGGCCAUCCACAGGUGGGCUCUCACACCUGGGAGAAACCCCCCCCCCCCCCAAGACUGCAAAAGUCACUUCACUUACCCCUACCUGUUAGCCAUCCACCAGCGCAAGCACAGUGGGGAGAAGCCCUGACAGCUGUCCCAGCUGCAGCCUCUGUUUUGCCUACGCCUCCCUGCUGGCUGGCCAUCCUCAGGUGCACACAUACAGGCGCACACACUGUGUGGACUGUGGCCUCUGCUUUACCUAUAUCUUUCUCCUUCUCAGUCACCGGCACAUUCACUCUGAUAGCCCGCCCUUCUCCUGCCCACAAUGUGGGAAAGGCUUUAAGCGCAGGUAUGCCUUGGAAGCCCAUCAGUGGAUCCAUCGCUCCGG